rnacentral:rRNA from 1 species
UACGGAGGGUGCGAGCGUUGUCCGGAAUCACUGGGCGUAAAGGGCGCGUAGGCGGCCUGAUAAGUAGGGGGUGAAAUCCUGCGGCUUAACCGCAGGGCUGCCUUCUAAACUGUCAGGCUCGAGCACAGUAGAGGCAGGUGGAAUUCCCGGUGUAGCGGUGGAAUGCGUAGAGAUCGGGAAGAACACCGGUGGCGAAGGCGGCGAGCUGGUCUGGUACUGACGCUGAGGCGCGACAGCGUGGGGAGCAAACAGG